AGAACACAAAUGUCAGUUUUCACCUAGCGGGAGCGUCUUGUUUCCAGGCGUGGCGCCGAGAGGCUUGAUGAAGCCGCACUCUCUGCUCAGAUUCGGGCUAUUGAAGAACACGGAAGCCGGCGUCAUUCUGGGAGAAAGGAGACGAUCCGUUUGCGCUGGUUCCGCCGUUCUCUUUGCUGCUGACUGAGGACGACGAGCCGGGUUUGGACGUGGACGCCGCCCCGCUGGACAACUGCCGCGUUUUACUGUCUGAAGAGAGAAAGGCCAGGAGAGAGGCUGGAGAUCUGGAGCAAAUGGGAUGGAGACCUUUGCUACCUUUCCAGCAGAUGAGCGGUCCUUUGCACAAAGCACCCUGAGAGUUCUUCACCAGGUCCUCCAGACAAUUGGUGACAGUGGGCGGAGCUUCCUGCUUCACACCUGUUACUGGCCCUUGCUAGCGGUAUGUAUUAGCACUGCUCCAACUCUACCUUCCAUAGUGCAGCAGCCCUCUGGCACAGGAGUCUGCAAGUAGGGCAGCGGGGGACUGUUGCUAUCCGAGUCUUCUUCCUCCUCCAGCUCCUCCGCGUCAUUGGAUGAGUGGCUGUUGGUCAGCAGCUCCUGGGCGGGGAGCUCGCCGCUGUGGGGCUCCACUUUGGGUUUCACGUCAGCUAGAGGAUCAUCAUUAUCAUCAUCAUGGUAUCCCGUGAGAGUACGCAUGCACGCACGCCACUGACUGACCGUCCACGUUGGCAGGAUAAGGCUCGGGCUUCAGGUAGAGCUGCGUGAAGAUGGGUUGCGGAUCUCCGCUGCUGGAGCGCAGCGACGCCUCGAUGGAGUUGUGCAGGGCCUCUUCGAAGCGAGCAGACUUCAACUGCCCGGCGUAGGAAUUCCCCAUGAUCUGGUCGGAGGACAAAAUAGGCAAAAACCGGUGGGUGUGCUAACCACCUCCCUUCUCCAAAGGAGGUCCACUCUGGACAUCUGUCGAGUGUCUUGGGUGGCAUCCUCAACAUGUGUUCCCAAAGAGAAGGAUCAUGAAAAAAAAUCCGGCUGAAAUUUCAAACCAUGCCCCCCCCCCCCCCACCUUCUCAUUGUUUAUCACGGUGGUGCAGAAAUGUAGUAAAUCAAGCUACUUUUUGUGAUGCCUUCAUGGUCAGUGUAGGAAGGAGAAGUAGAAAGCGACUCACUCACGUGAUGAGUGUUUGCAGGCGUGAAGGGACUUGUUCACCUCAGCUCCACGCUGGGUCGCCGCCACUCGGUAAAGACAUUUCAGUCACGGCUCUGACACCUGAGGGAGGGAAGGAGGGAGGGAGCGAGCGAGCGAGAGGAGUGUGCCGCUGCGCAUUAGCUGACAUACAUGUCAUCUGAUGCAAAUACCAUGAGAACAAAUUAAGACUCCUAUUUUGCAAAACAUCAGAAAGACCUUGGAGAAGAUUCUUGAAUUUUUCAGAAAGUACAUCAAGUGUAAAUGUAACACAGAAUUUGUGAAAAUUGUAGGAUCAAAAAUGGUGGCGGAAGUGUGAUGGUCUAGGGCUGCUUUGUUACAUCAGGACAUGGCCGACUGGCUGUGAUUGAUGGAACCUUGAAUUCUGACCCCAAGCAUGACCGGAUCUCGAUGCGAUACCUGGCCCUGCCUCUAGGCUACUUCCACACUACGGCGAUGUUUGACUUUGCGUUGGCCGCACAUAAUCCACGCUGCUACUUUGACCCUUUGACGGAGUAUUGUUUAACCACUCAGCCUGUUACAUAACACAAAGCAAAGUCCCCCCCUACUCCUGUCCCCAUUGACCCCCCCGUCAUCACCAAAGCGGGGUCCAAGUCCUGAAAGUGUACACACGUUUUUGCACGGGAGCUGCUUUUGGUCAAUGAUUAGCCGCCUUUGAAACAGCCAAUCAAGUCAAUGUGUCAACCAGGAAGCUCCUCAAAGACGGCGGCCGGCUUUCUUCUUCUUGUGUCCUCACUUGAUCUCGUAUCCAAUCAAGUGGGGCAAGUUCAAGCUACACCUCCCUCCGCAAGCAAGGAACCAACCGUUGGGAUUGUUAUCUGACAAGCCACACGGAAAUGGCUCCACCAAAAGAGAGGACCAUCGAACCGAAAAACACCACCUAAAUCUUGCCUGAGGCAUUUCAAGACGUCCGGUUUUUCCAGUCAUGACACUAGGACCAACUGUACUUAGGACCACAGCAGGAAUGCGGAGUAAAUGGGCCCACUCGUUCAAGUCAGGACCAGCAUCCUUCACAGGCUUGACUUUUUCCACUUUCUUUUCUACUCAACAUUCCCCCCCCCCCCCCCCAUUGUAAACGCUUAAGGAGUAAAACUUCUUACGUUCAUAUGAAAUUGAAAAUAAGAACAACAUAUUAUGUACCUGUAUGUUUAACCAAGUGAAUAUUUUCUUUUAUAUUAAAUAAUUUGCAUUUGGGUAUUAGUAAUUCACCCAAAUCAAAGUUUGACCAAGAUUUUGAUCUGAUUAAUUUGAGAAAUCUGGCUCUCAACCCACCAAAAUAAUUGAUACUGCUUGAAUUGAAUUGUAAAAUAUAUAAUAAAUAAGGAUCAUUUAUUAGUCAUAAUCCAAUCAUUUGCAAAUCAAUUAAAAAUAUGUAUUAUUGUUGAUAAUAAUAAGUUGAGAUCAUCAUCACCACAAUAAGAGCAAUAAUGAAAACAAAUGUCAGGACACUUUAAACUUGUAUUCAAUUCUGUCAUCUUUAAAAUGCAGAUUCCUCAUCGUACAUUAAUCAAAUGCUGUAAAUGAGGAAAUUCAAUGUUGAAUUGAAAAGGUUUUUAAAUCCGAUGUGCAACCAAAAUGGUAAUCCUAAUUCAAUACGACCACUCUGCUUUCUAGCUUUUGUUUUUGCAUCCUCUUUUGCUCCUUCCUCAUAAUUACAUUAGAACAGGAGCAGGGAGGCUGCUGAAUUCAAUUCAAUUGCAGCCUGCAUUCAAAACACCCCCCCCUCCUGUUUUUUUUUUUUUUUUUUUAAUAAAACAGAGGGCAAAAUAAAAGGGGCGUACUUCCCCACGCCUUUAAACUUGCGCUCUGCCCGUCGCAACAUUGGCCAUGGAUAAGACGUCACACGCAUAAAAUAAAGCCAGAUAAGCAUCAGGCAGGAGCGCUCAUUGUCAUGCAGGAAAGACGCUGCUGUUAACAUCAGAAAAGCAGAACAGGGGGAGCAGAAAAAGGACUAACAUCUCACCAUGCCCUCUCGAUGAGGCGCUAAAAGCCUCUCUCGUUAGAGCUGUUCAAAUGACUUUACCUUGCAUGACCUUUUGAGGCUUUUGAAAUCCCAAAUAGUGCAGAAGACAAAAAAAAAGAAGCUCCUUGGAAGUGUUAGUCCAUUGGGAGUAAAUCCUUGUGGAAAGUCCAGGCAGGCAUGGGGAGCGAGCUGUGUGUCCUCUCAUGACACACACAGUCAAGUCAGUCAGGCUGCAAUGGGAAUCUUCCUCUCUCUCCCCCCCCCCCCCCUCUCGCUCUCUCCCUCUUGCAUGCAAACAAACACACAUAGACCCCUCCCCCUGCUCCCCCCUACUCCCCCGAGGUGCCCUCCUCUGAACUGCCUGUGCCAUUUGCCAAGGAGGAGGAGUAGAAUGCAUUCAUCUGAGCCCCUGUGGUGACAGAUGUUCUGCUAAGGCAGAGUAAACCUCAACUGGGAGUGGCAAAUAGACAACUGGAAGGAAGCAGCGUGCAAGUGACAAAGGUUUCCCAUGAAUCGACAUGAACGGUUUAAGAAGUGGAAGUGGAAGAAAGGUGGUCCAAAAGCGGCGUAGCAAAGGAUGAAGAGGUCUACAGGCCCUUCAUUCAGGUUUACUGUCACUUUGCUCUAUCAGCCAGGUUCUGUGUGUGUGUGGAAGUGGAGGGGGGGGUUCAAGCCCACCAACAAAAGCCUUGGAUCCACACGUCCAUUGUCCCAUUAAGACAAAAAGAUUCCUGCUGAUGCAUGACGGGAAUUAAGCACGUCACCGGGGGCAACCUGGUGCUUAUUAAUCAGCCCGGUUUGUAACGGGGGCGGAUCGCCGCUGACGCAGCAAUGGCGCAUGCCCGGCCGGGGUCAGGAAGAGGGACGUGAUGGAUCCGGCUGACCGCUCCGCUGAAGGAAGUCGGCAGGGAAGGGGGAGGAGGGCCCGUGCGUCCAGACACUGAGAGGCCUCUUUGUCCACGCGUCACUCACAAGGUGCCCCAAGGAGGAACAAGAAAGGAGCGGCGCCAUGAUGGAAGAUACCGGGAGCACACAACAGAAUUCUUUCUUUCCACCGUCACAGACAAUUUGGGUUUGGACUGCGUCAAAUGCAGCCACUUUAGAUUUUAAAAUGAGUAAAUGAAAACAAAUUUUCAAGCUACUUAGGAAAAAUUCACUUUGGUCUGUAUAUGACAAUACGUCUAUAACAAAAUCUAUGGUAGAAAUUCUUUUAUUCUAAAAUUUGCAGGCAAAUGCUUUUGAUUGGACAGUAAUCAUUUGCUUUGGCUUCCAUUUGCGGCACUCUCUGUUUUGAUUGGUCUUCCGGGAAAGCUUGCGCCCUGGUUCGAAGCAUAUCGACCCCAUCCGUCAAGUCAAUACACUGAUCCGCACAUAGAUCGAUACGGAAUUAUUUUCCAUGUUUUCCUUUGGCGGUGCUUGACCUGCAAGCGCUCAUUCGGGGGUGAUUGAAAGGAAAAGAUAGAGAAAGGGAGAGAGCCAGAAAGAGAUAAUGACCUCCCCCUGGCUCAGCGGAACGUUGAGUUCUCGCAGCGUGGGCCUGGGUCUUGGUCACCGUAGCCUUGGACGAUCUGUGAGUGCUGACGGGAAAAAAAAAAAAAAAGAAUCAAGUGCGCAGGCAGACGAGUCUCUCCCACGUAAACGCUGGCAGCAUCAACACGCGGCGGGGCGACCUUGUGUUCCAUUACGAGGGAAAGUGAAUGUCCUGUUUGGGAUUUCUGGUGACAAUGCUGCUGUUACCUUGACACAGCUAGGUGGACUCAUCUUCCAUAGCUGGGCCAAAAUGACACGUUUGGCCUAAUUCAUGCUGAGACAUCCUAUUGGUUGCUAGCAAAUCUGUUCGGAAAAGAGCAUUUUGGAAGGACCCUUCCAAAUAGCCCAUUUAAAUUUGCUCUUUGUGCAAAAACUAAAAGUGACAAGAGUCAUCAGGAAUUGAACAGCCCAUUCUUUUAUUGUAGCUUUGACACACAAAGUUCUCAAGUGACAAUCCAUCUAAUAAAGAAAAAUGUGGUGAGUCUCGUUAACUUGUUUAUCUUGGAGGGACAAAUACAAUCGUGGCAAGCCAAAACAAUGAGCAUCCAUCCACCAGACAGAUUUUCCCAUACGGCCGGCCGGCGCUAAAGCACAACAUGUACUUGCCGCCUGGCCGCCGCUUCUGGGGGCUGGCAUCCGAGCCAGCCAGCGAGCGAGCGAGGAGCGGAUAAACGGCGGACGGAACAGCCCGUGAGAACACACUGUUCUAUAACAGAUCAUUGCAAGAAGCCAAUCCACCGUUGGAUGCUUUCCAGGGCUCAAAGGCAAAAAGCGAGGAUAAGAUUACUAAGUGCUUUUCAUGAGCGCACGUCAGAAGCCCAGAGAAAUGCGAGGGCAUCCGCCACAGUCCUCGACAGUGAUUUCAUUAGCCCCGCCUGACAUUUUUGCACCAAAUACCAGUCACCCUGUGUGGCCCGGUACCAAAUGGCCCGGGACAGCGACUACUUUGGUUCAUUAACCCGGCAGGCAGGCCCCUAGGUUUGUGUUAUGUGUGAGAGGCCCGCUUGGCCUGGUUAUGCCAUCACACGCGCGACCCAUUAACUUUUGUUGCGGUAAAGCUCCCUGAUGAACGAGGCAGGAGGUCAUUGCGGGAAAAAGUGGGCUCACACACACACACGCAGCCCCCCCCCCCCUAGUUUUGACUUGCUGAAAUGAUUCAAUUGUUCUCAUUCACGUCUCUUGAUUCGACUUCCAAUUUUUGUCAAGCAUACAAUCAAAUAGUUGGAUCCUGAUGCAAAAAGACCUGUUCCAUCCUCACUUGAACAUCAUACAAGUCUCAUUGACUGCGAUUCCAAAAUGACAAACUGCUGCUGGCCAAAACGGAUGAAUUGGCUAAUACAUCAUUGCGGAGCUGGCUAAUGGAA